rnacentral:rRNA from 1 species
AACGAACGCUGGCGGCAGGCUUAACACAUGCAAGUCGAACGCAUCCUUCGGGGUGAGUGGCAGACGGGUGAGUAACGCGUGGGAACGUGCCCUUCGGUUCGGGAUAACCCAGGGAAACUUGGGCUAAUACCGGAUACGUGCGAGAGCAGAAAGAUUUAUCGCUGAAGGAUCGGCCCGCGUCUGAUUAGCUAGUUGGUGGGGGAAUGGCCCACCAAGGCGACGAUGAGUAGCUGGUCUGGGAGGAUGAUCAGCCACACUGGGACUGAGACACGGCCCAGACUCCUACGGGAGGCAGCAGUGGGGAAUAUGGGACAAGGGGCGCGAGCCUGAUCCAGCUAUGCCGCGUGAGUGAUGGAGGCCUUAGGGUUGUAAAGCUAUUUCAGUGGGGACGAUAAUGACGGUACCCGCAGAAGAAGCCCCGGCUAACUUCGUGCCAGCCGCCGCGGUAA